ACCCAUUCUCACUCCAAAGGCGUCAAAAACCGAAGCAUGGUCAAGCGCCCCUAGCGUCACUUUUAUGACGCCAAAUGUGCCUCUCGGCGUCGACUAUCGAAGCACUACGACCUUCAUUGCUUUCAGUGGGAAACUUUUGGCGUCAGAAUUCGACACGAGGACAGGAGAUGUUUAUCGCUAUGAAAUCACGUUCAAGAAGUCUCAUUCAGCACACAUCGCGCGAUACUUGCUAUCAGUUCCACAGUUUGGCUGAAAAGACGUAAAGGCAGUCAGCCCAGUGGUGUUUCUGGAGAGGGAUUCCUUCAGAAAUGGAGAAGACAGAAAGCUGCGGAGGCAGAUAUUUGCAGCAGUCUAAAAUAUCGAGCUCAACAGCUAUUUUAAGAGCCAACCCUCACAAACCUUCCUAAAACCUAAAAGAGCUAUUACUGAGUCUCAGCGAAUCUUGCCAUGAUCAGCUCUUCCCAGAAGAGAAGGAAGACCAAGGAAAUUAUUUGCUCAGGAUGAGAAAUGAAGACGGCCAUCUUGUGCUCAAACAAACAGAAGUCCUUUGAUGAUCUCAUCAGCCAAAUGAGGGGUUUUGACCAAGUGAUGCUCUUGAAAGGAGAGAAAGAAGAGGAUGUGGUAAAUUGUCUUCAGAGAAAAAGCUUCUCAAAAGGUCUUAAAGCAGCUUGAAGAAUGGUCUGGGAUGUUAGGACUGAGAGAUCCUCUGGCUGAGAACAAGCUACACCACAUCAGUGCUGGACAUCAACCACAAACUGUUUCCAGACACGAGAGAAGAAGAACACGAUGGGGAGAUGAAACCAGUUUAGAUGUGAUGAUGGGAAUCAUUAUUUUCUGGAACAGUAUCACAUGUCUUAUAUGUAUCACAUGAUCUGUAUCACAGUUGACUGAAUGGGACUGUGUGACUUUUAAGGACAUUUCAUCACUCAUCCGUGGGAACUGAUUUAUAUAUGAGGUUAAUGUAUUUUUGAUGAUAAUUAUUUUCAUUGAAUCUUAUUUGUCUUGAUGCUACUUUAUCAACUUUAUAGUCUAUGCUUCAAUAAAAUGAA